ensembl:lncRNA
CCUUGGUCAACACUGUUUUAAAUGUGCUAUAUAAAUAAAUUUGACUUUGAAUUCAGGAUACUGUAACAUACAGAGGAAUUCCCGGUUCAGUCAAAGCAAGGAGCCAGUCAGGGUGCUAAACAGCCUCAAACCAUCACACCUUCACCACCAUGCCUGAUAAUUGGUUUCAGGUGUUCACUAAAUGUGGUGCUGUACAUUACACCAGAGAUCUUGACUUUGGUCUCAUUUGUUCAAAGGAUGUUGUUCCAGAAGUCUUUAGUCAUCAUUACCUGACGAGUUUGUUGCAUUCUAUUCUGGUCCACUUCCAUUUUUUUCUCUCCUCUCACUUCUCACCUUCGCAACUUUAUAGGUAGGACUUCAUUAGCUGAUGCACACCAGAUUAUUGGCUUGGGUAUACUCUUGGCUGGCUUUUUGGUGGUUAGCCUUGUGUUGCCACUUGGAUGGAAGAAAUGCUGUGAAAAGAACAAGAAAUGCUCAAGUUGCUGUGACAGAAAACUGCUAUAUGACCAAAUGAUUUUGGAGGAGGAAGAAAAUGUAUUCACAGAGAUGAUGAGAAAAGCAGCAAAAGAUAAACUGACAGAAGAAAUACAGAAAACACUCAACAGUGAACGUUGGGGGGAAUCUUUUGAUGUUGCUGAUCAUCUGAUUACAAGCAGAACUCCACCAGGACGCAGGGAAGACAUUUCUAUGGAAAAUCGGCAGCCAGAGGGGGGCCCCCUAAUGGAUGAGCAUGUUUGACAAAGAUGCACAACAACAAUGUGAGGAAAGUAUCGCCACUGCGAUUCUUAUCAGAAUUCAAGUUUCAUUUUCAGUUUAUAACAAAAAAUAUGUAUGUACAUCACAAGUGAAAAUAUAUUUUCACUUGUAAUAUCUUAAAGAUUAUAGUAAAAUUUUUAUGUUAUCCUUAUAAAUACC